GAUGAACGCUGGCGGCGUGCCUAAUACAUGCAAGUCGAGCGAACGGACGAGAAGCUUGCUUCUCUGAUGUUAGCGGCGGACGGGUGAGUAACACGUGGAUAACCUACCUAUAAGACUGGGAUAACUUCGGGAAACCGUAGCUAAUACCGGAUAAUAUUUUGAACCGCAUGGUUCAAAAGUGAAAGACGGUCUUGCUGUCACUUAUAGAUGGAUCCGCGCUGCAUUAGCUAGUUGGUAAGGUAACGGCUUACCAAGGCAACGAUGCAUAGCCGACCUGAGAGGGUGAUCGGCCACACUGGAACUGAGACACGGUCCAGACUCCUACGGGAGGCAGCAGUAGGGAAUCUUCCGCAAUGGGCGAAAGCCUGACGGAGCAACGCCGCGUGAGUGAUGAAGGUCUUCGGAUCGUAAAACUCUGUUAUUAGGGAAGAACAUAUGUGUAAGUAACUGUGCACAUCUUGACGGUACCUAAUCAGAAACCCACGGCUAACUACGUG
rnacentral:rRNA from 1 species